rnacentral:rRNA from 1 species
GAAGGUGGCGCAGGCUACACAUGCAGUCGAGCGGAUGAAGGGAGCUUGCUCCUGGAUUCAGCGGCGGACGGGUGAGUAAUGCCUAGGAAUCUGCCUGGUAGUGGGGGAUAACGUCCGGAAACGGGCGCUAAUACCGCAUACGUCCUGAGGGAGAAAGUGGGGGAUCUUCGGACCUCACGCUAUCAGAUGAGCCUAGGUCGGAUUAGCUAGUUGGUGGGGUAAAGGCCUACCAAGGCGACGAUCCGUAACUGGUCUGAGAGGAUGAUCAGUCACACUGGAACUGAGACACGGUCCAGACUCCUACGGGAGGCAGCAGUGGGGAAUAUUGGACAAUGCGCGAAAGCCUGAUCCUCCCCUGCCGCGUGUGUGAAGAAGGUCUUCGGAUUGUAAAGCACUUUAAGUUGGGAGGAAGGGCAGUCAGUUAAUACCUUGCUGUUUUGACGUUACCCACAGAAUAAGCACCGGCUAACUUCGUGCCAGCAGCCUCUGGUAAAA